rnacentral:rRNA from 1 species
UGGUCAAGUUAUUAAGGGUGCAGGGCGGAUGCCUUGGCACUAGGAGCCGAUGAAGGACGUGAUAAGCUGCGAUAAGCUUCGGGGAGUUGCACGUAAACUUUGAUCCGAAGAUUUCCGAAUGAGGAAACUCACUUAGAGUAAUGUCUAAGUAUCAUUAAGUGAAUACAUAGCUUAAUGAGGGGAACUCAGGGAACUGAAACAUCUAAGUACCUGAAGGAAGAGAAAGAAAUUCGAUUCCGUAAGUAGCGGCGAGCGAACGCGGAUUAGCCCAAACCAAUAAAGUUUUCUUUAUUGGGGUUGCGGACAUAUCAUAACGAAGAGGUAUCGUAAUUGAAGAGGUUUGGAAAGACCCACCACAGAAGGUAAUAGUCCUGUAUGUUAAACGAGAAGACUUCAGAUAUGAUCCAGAGUACCACGGGACACGUGAAACCCUGUGGGAAGCAGGAGGGACCACCCUCCAAGGCUAAAUACUACCUAGUGACCGAUAGCGUAUAGUACCGUGAGGGAAAGGUGAAAAGAACCCCGGGAGGGGAGUGAAAUAGAACCUGAAACCCUGCACUUACAAGCUGUGGAAGCACAUUUCUUGUGUGACCGCGUACUUUUUGUAGAACGGGCCAACGAGUUACGUUAAGUAGCAAGGUUAAGCACUUAAGGUGUGGAGCCGUAGCGAAAGCGAGUUUUAACUGAGCGUUCAGUUACUUGACGUAGACCCGAAACCGGGCGACCUACCCAUGAGCAGGAUGAAGCGAAAGUAAAAUUUCGUGGAGGUCCGAACCCACGAGCGUUGAAAAGCUCGGGGAUGACUUGUGGGUAGCGGUGAAAUUCCAAUCGAGCCCGGAGAUAGCUGGUUCUCCCCGAAAUAGCUUUAGGGCUAGCCUCAAGGUGAGAGAUACGGAGGUAGAGCACUGAAUGUCCUAGGGGGUAUUGCACCUACCGAAGACUAUCAAACUCCGAAUGCCGUCAUCUUAUACUUGGGAGUCAGACUGUGGGUGAUAAGAUUCAUAGUCGAAAGGGCAACAGCCCAGAUCGUCAGCUAAGGUCCCUAAAUGUAAGUUAAGUGGUAAAGGAUGUGGGAUUGCACAGACAACCAGGAUGUUGGCUUAGAAGCAGCCACUCAUUCAAAGAGUGCGUAAUAGCUCACUGGUCGAGUGAUCCUGCGCCGAAGAUUUCCGGGGCUAAAACUUACUACCGAAGCUACGGCAUCAGUAAUGAUGGGUAGGGGAGCUUCCCAUACGGGUUGAAGCAUGACCGUAAGGACAUGUGGACAGUAUGGGAGUGAGAAUGUUGGCAUGAGUAGCGAGAUGUGGGUGAGAAUCCCACAGGCCGUAAACCCAAGGUUUCCAGGGGAAGGUUCGUCCGCCCUGGGUUAGUCGGGACCUAAGCUGAGGCCGAAAGGCGUAGGUGAUGGACAACAGGUUGAUAUUCCUGUACUACCGAUAACCGUUUGAGAGAAGGGAUGACACAGUAGGAUAAGCUAAGCACACUGUUGGUUAUGUGUGCCCAAGCAUUGAGGCAGUCAAAGUAGGCAAAUCCGCUUUGAUAAUGCUGGGAUGUGAUGGGGAGCGAAAUUUAGUAGCGAAGUAGCUGAUUUCACACUGUCAAGAAAAGUCUCUAUCGAGGUUAAAGGUACCCGUACCGCAAACCGACACAGGUGGGUGAGGAGAGUAUCCUAAGGCCAGCGAGAGAACUGUUGUUAAGGAACUCGGCAAAAUGACCCCGUAACUUAGGGAUAAGGGGUGCCACCAUCAGGUGGCCGCAGAGAAUAGGCCCAAGCGACUGUUUACCAAAAACAUAGGUUUCUGCUAAGUCGCAAGACGAUGUAUAGGAGCUGACGCCUGCCCGGUGCUGGAAGGUUAAGGGGAUCUGUUAGAGCAAUCGAAGCAGUGAACUUAAGCCCCAGUAAACGGCGGCCGUAACUAUAACGGUCCUAAGGUAGCGAAAUUCCUUGUCGGGUAAGUUCCGACCCGCACGAAAGGCGUAACGAUUUGGGCACUGUCUCAACAACAGACUCGGUGAAAUUGUAAUUCCGGUGAAGAUGCCGGAUACCUGCGACAGGACGGAAAGACCCCAUGGAGCUUUACUGUAGCUUGACAUUGGGUUUUGGUACUACAUGUACAGGAUAGGUGGGAGGCUUUGAAACCAGGACGCCAGUUUUGGCGGAGCCAUCCUUGGGAUACCACCCUUGUAGUACUGGGACUCUAACCAUAGGCCAUGAAUCUGGUCUUGGGACACUGUCAGGUGGGCAGUUUGACUGGGGCGGUCGCCUCCCAAAAGGUAACGGAGGCGCUCAAAGGUUCUCUCAGUACGGUCGGAAAUCGUACGUAGAGUGUAAAGGCAAAAGAGAGCUUGAUUGCAAGACAUACAGGUCGAGCAAGGAUGAAAAUCGGACUUAGUGAUCCGGUGGUUCUGCGUGGAAGGGCCAUCGCUCAACGGAUAAAAGCUACCCUGGGGAUAACAGGCUUAUCUCCCCCAAGAGUCCACAUCGACGGGGAGGUUUGGCACCUCGAUGUCGGCUCAUCACAUCCUGGGGCUGUAGUAGGUCCCAAGGGUUGGGCUGUUCGCCCAUUAAAGUGGUACGCGAGCUGGGUUCAGAACGUCGUGAGACAGUUCGGUCCCUAUCCGUCGCAGGCGUAGGAAAUUUGAGAAGACCUGUCCUUAGUACGAGAGGACCGGGAUGGACGUACCUCUGGUGUACCAGUUGUUCUGCCAAGGGCAUGGCUGGGUAGCUAUGUACGGAAUGGAUAAGCGCUGAAAGCAUCUAAGCGCGAAGCCAACUUCAAGAUAAGAUUUCCCACCGCAAGGGUAAGACCCCAGAAAGACUAUCUGGUUGAUAGGUCGAAGGUGUAAGUGCAGCAAUGUAUUUAGCUUAUCGAUACUAAUAGGUCGAGGACUUGACCAAU